rnacentral:lncRNA from 1 species
UAUGCAGACAUUGAUAGUGCAACGAAAGCUCGAGCUGGUUUGAAUGGAAGAAAAUUUGGAGGGAACCAAGUGAUGGCUGUAUUCUAUCCUGAGAACAAGUUUGCCCAAGGGGAGUAUGAUGCCUAAACAUCAUCACAUUCUACAGUGAUUGGACAAAUUGUGUCGUUGGAAGAAAGAAGAGAAUAUUUAGUUUUGUUUUAAAUGUGGGUAAGUUUGUGUGCCUAAAUCUGGAACUCAAAUAGCCAAGUAAGUAAUGCAAGUGACCUUAGAUCCCAGCUAGAUUGUUAGAUUUCCUAUCAUUUUGGAAAAGUA